UACGUAGGGGGCAAGCGUUGGUCCGGAUUUAUUGGGCGUAAAGAGCGUGUAGGCGGCCAUGUAGGUCCGUUGUGAAAACUCGAGGCUCAACUUCGAGACGCCGAUGGAAACCAUGUGGCUAGAGUCCGGAAGAGGAGAGUGGAAUUCCCAGUGUAGAGGUGAAAUUCGUAGAUAUUAGGGAAGAACACCGGUGGCGAAGGCGGCUCUCUGGACCGAGACGUGACGCUGAGGCGCGAAAGCGUGGGGAGCAAACAGG
rnacentral:rRNA from 1 species